UACGUAGGGGGCAAGCGUUGUCCGGAUUUAUUGGGCGUAAAGAGCGUGUAGGCGGCCGCACAGGUCCGUUGUGAAAACUGGAGGCUUAACCUUCAGACGUCGAUGGAAACCGUGCGGCUAGAGUCCGGAAGAGGAGAAUGGAAUUCCUGGUGUAGCGGUGAAAUGCGCAGAUAUCAGGAGGAACACCGGUGGCGAAGGCGGGUCUCUGGGCCGAAACUGACGCUGAGGAGCGAAAGCGUGGGGAGCAAACAGG
rnacentral:rRNA from 1 species